rnacentral:rRNA from 1 species
CAAUAGCGUAUAUUAAAGUUGUUGCAGUUAAAAAGCUCGUAGUUGGAUUUCUGGUUGAAGCGACCGGUCGGGCGUUGAUUCGUCUGCACUGGAGUCGGUUUUGGCCAUCCUCUAGGAAAGUGCGUCUGGUAUUAAGUUAUCGGGCGUAUGAUCCUGGUCUUUUACUGUGAAAAAAUUAGAGUGUUUAAAGCAGGCCUUCGCCUUGAAUACAUUAGCAUGGAAUAAUAAGAUAGGACUUUGGUCUAUUUUGUUGGUUUGAAGACCGAAGUAAUGAUUAAUAGGGAUAGUUGGGGGUAUUUAUAUUCCGAUGUCAGAGGUGAAAUUCUUAGAUUUUCGGAAGAUAAACUUAUGCGAAAGCAUUUACCAAGGAUGUUUUCAUUAA